rnacentral:rRNA from 1 species
GACGAACGCUGGCGGCGUGCUUAACACAUGCAAGUCGAACGGUAAGGCCCUUCGGGGUACACGAGUGGCGAACGGGUGAGUAACACGUGGGUGAUCUGCCCUGCACUUCGGGAUAAGCCUGGGAAACUGGGUCUAAUACCGGGUAGGACCACUGCCUGCAUGGGUGGUGGUGGAAAGCUUUUGCGGUGUGGGAUGGGCCCGCGGCCUAGCAGCUUGUUGGUGGGGUGAUGGCCUACCAAGGCGACGAGGGGUAGGCGGCCUGAGAGGGUGACCGGCCACACUGGGACUGGGAUACGGCCCAGACUCCUACGGGAGGCAGCAGUGGGGAAUAUUGCACAAUGGGCGCAAGCCUGAUGCAGCGACGCCGCGUGAGGGAUGACGGCCUUCGGGUUGUAAACCUCUUUCAGCACCGACGAAGCGCAAGUGACGGUAGGUGCAGAAGAAGGACCGGCCAACUACGUGCCAGCCGCCGCGGUAA